CAUUACCGAGUUUACAACUCCCAAACCCCUGUGAACAUACCUAUACGUUGCCUCGGCGGAUCAGCCCGCGCCCCGUAAAACGGGACGGCCCGCCCGAGGACCCUAAACUCUGUUUUUAGUGGAACUUCUGAGUAAAACAAACAAAUAAAUCAAAACUUUCAACAACGGAUCUCUUGGUUCUGGCAUCGAUGAAGAACGCAGCAAAAUGCGAUAAGUAAUGUGAAUUGCAGAAUUCAGUGAAUCAUCGAAUCUUUGAACGCACAUUGCGCCCGCCAGUAUUCUGGCGGGCAUGCCUGUUCGAGCGUCAUUUCAACCCUCAAGCUCAGCUUGGUGUUGGGACUCGCGGUAACCCGCGUUCCCCAAAUCGAUUGGCGGUCACGUCGAGCUUCCAUAGCGUAGUAAUAAUACACCUCGUUACUGGUAAUCGUCGCGGCCACGCCGUAAAACCCCAACUUCUGAAUGUUGACCU
rnacentral:rRNA from 1 species